CAAAGACCAGAGCCCUGAGCAGAGACAUGGACCAGUCUGGCCCUGCCUGAAUCCUCCAGGUGUGCCCAUCUCCUCUGUUGCAUGGUCCUGUGUCUGCUGGGUGCAGGGUUAGUGGCUGCUGGAGUCACCCAGUCCCCGAGACUCCUCAUCAAAGGCCGUGGUGGGGAGGCCGUUCUGAAAUGCCACCCCAUCCCUGGACACAAGAGUGUUUACUGGUACCAACAGGCUCGGGGGCAGGAACCCAAGUUUCUCAUUCAGUAUUAUGAACAGCAGGAGUACGACAAAGAAAAUUUCCCCCACCGCUUCAAAGGAAAGCAGUUCAGAGACUACAGCUCCGAGCUGGCCAUGCACACCUUGCAGCUGGAGGACUCGGCCGUGUACCUCUGUGCCAGCAGCGUAGACACAGCCCUGCAGGGCCCAUGCCUUUCUGUACCCAAACCGUCCUGUCCCAGCUGUAGUCACAGGCAGAGGGAGGGGACCUCAGCCCAGUUCCACAGAUAG